GGUGAACGCUGGCGGCGUGCCUAAGACAUGCAAGUCGAGCGGGGCAGGUUUAUCCCUGUUCAGCGGCGGACGGGUGAGUAACGCGUGGGUGACCUACCCGGAAGAGGCGGACAACCUGGGGAAACCCAGGCUAAUCCGCCAUGUGGUCCUGUCCUGUGGGGCAGGACUAAAGGGGCGCCCCGCUUCCGGAUGGGCCCGCGGCCCAUCAGCUAGUUGGUGGGGUAAAGGCCCACCAAGGCGACGACGGGUAGCCGGUCUGAGAGGAUGGCCGGCCACAGGGGUACGGAGAACCGGGCCCCACUCCUACGGGAGGCAGCAGUUAGGAAUCGUACGCAAUAGACGGAAGUCUGACGGAGCGACGCCGCUUGGAGGAGGAAGCCCAUCGGGGUGUAAACUCCUGUACUAGGGACGAAAGCCCCGUGUAGGGGGAUGAAGGUACCCAGGUAAUAGCUCCGGCCAACUCCGUG
rnacentral:rRNA from 1 species